CCCAGUGAAGGGAGAGUUGAUCAGGAACCAGGCCCAGGGACAGGAGCACACACCAUGAUUUCACACAUCCAGCUGAUCUGGCCCCUGGCAUUCUGUGUCGCAGGUAUCAGUGGGGACAUCAUCAUGACCCAGUCACCCCCGGUGCUGUCAGUGGGACUGGACCAGACCGCAACCAUCACCUGUACGGCCAGUCAAUCUGUUAGCAAGUGGGUUAAUUGGUUCCAGCAGCGAGAAGGUCAGAAACCCUCUCUCCUGAUCUAUGAAGCAACAACUCGAAACACAGGAGUCUCCGAGUGAUUCACCGGCAGAGGA